rnacentral:rRNA from 1 species
AGAGUUUGAUCCUGGCUCAGAUUGAACGCUGGCGGCAUGCCUUACACAUGCAAGUCGAACGGUAACGCGGGGGCAACCCUGGCGACGAGUGGCGAACGGGUGAGUAAUACAUCGGAACAUAUCCAGUAGCGGGGGAUAACCUAUCGAAAGAUGGACUAAUACCGCAUACGAUCUACGGAUGAAAGCAGGGGACCGCAAGGCCUUGCACUAUUGGAGUGGCCGAUGUCGGAUUAGCUAGUUGGUGGGGUAAAAGCUUACCAAGGCGACGAUCCGUAGCUGGUCUGAGAGGACGAUCAGCCACACUGGAACUGAGACACGGUCCAGACUCCUACGGGAGGCAGCAGUGGGGAAUUUUGGACAAUGGGCGCAAGCCUGAUCCAGCCAUGCCGCGCGAGUGAAGAAGGCCUUCGGGUUGUAAAGCUCUUUCGGUGAAGACGAAACGGUUCAUGCUAAUAACGUGAACUAAUGACGGUACUCACAGAAGAAGCACCGGCUAACUACGUGCCAGCAGCCGCGGUAAUACGUAGGGUGCAGGCGUUAAUCGGAAUUACUGGGCGUAAAGCGUGCGCAGGCGGUUUGCUAAGACAGGUGUGAAAUCCCCGGGCUUAACCUGGGAAUUGCGCUUGUAACUGGCAAGCUAGAGUGUGGCAGAGGGGGGUGGAAUUCCACGUGUAGCAGUGAAAUGCGUAGAUAUGUGGAGGAACACCGAUGGCGAAGGCAGCCCCCUGGGUUAACACUGACGCUCAUGCACGAAAGCGUGGGGAGCAAACAGGAUUAGAUACCCUGGUAGUCCACGCCCUAAACUAUGUCAACUAGUUGUCGGGGAAGAAAUUCCUUGGUAACGAAGCUAACGCGUGAAGUUGACCGCCUGGGGAGUACGGCCGCAAGGUUAAAACUCAAAGGAAUUGACGGGGACCCGCACAAGCGGUGGAUUAUGUGGAUUAAUUCGAUGCAACGCAAAAACCUUACCUACCCUUGACAUGCUAGGAAGCCCGCAGAGAUGUGGGUGUGCCCGAAAGGGAACCUAGACACAGGUGCUGCAUGGCUGUCGUCAGCUCGUGUCGUGAGAUGUUGGGUUAAGUCCCGCAACGAGCGCAACCCUUGCCAUUAGUUGCUACAUUCAGUUGGGCACUCUAAUGGGACCGCCGGUGACAAACCGGAGGAAGGUGGGGAUGACGUCAAGUCCUCAUGGCCCUUAUGGGUAGGGCUUCACACGUAAUACAAUGGUCGGUACAGAGGGCUGCCAACCCGCAAGGGGGAGCUAAUCCCAGAAAGCCGAUCGUAGUCCGGAUUGUAGUCUGCAACUCGACUGCAUGAAGCCGGAAUCGCUAGUAAUCGCGGAUCAGCAUGUCGCGGUGAAUACGUUCCCGGGUCUUGUACACACCGCCCGUCACACCAUGGGAGUGGGUUCCACCAGAAGUAGUUAGCCUAACCGCAAGGAGGGCGAUUACCACGGU